AGGGUUUGAUUAUGGCUCAGGACGAACGCUGGCGGCAUGCCUAACACAUGCAAGUCGAACGGAGAUUACUUCGGUAAUCUUAGUGGCGAACGGGUGAGUAACGCGUGGGCAACCUGCCCUCUAGAUGGGGACAACAUCCCGAAAGGGGUGCUAAUACCGAAUGUGACAGCAAUCUCGCAUGAGGAUGCUGUGAAAGAUGGCCUCUAUUUAUAAGCUAUCGCUAGAGGAUGGGCCUGCGUCUGAUUAGCUAGUUGGUGGGGUAACGGCCUACCAAGGCGAUGAUCAGUAGCCGGUCUGAGAGGAUGAACGGCCACAUUGGGACUGAGACACGGCCCAG
rnacentral:rRNA from 1 species